GACGAAUGCUGGCGGCGUGCUUAACACAUGCAAGUCGAGCGGUAAGGCCCUUUCGGGGGUACACGAGCGGCGAACGGGUGAGUAACACGUGGGUGACCUGCCCUCAGCUCUGGGAUAAGCCUGGGAAACCGGGUCUAAUACCGGAUAUGACUCCAUGACGCAUGUUGUGGGGUGGAAAGUCUUGUGCGGCUGAGGAUGGGCCCGCGGCCUAUCAGCUUGUUGGUGGGGNGAUGGCCUACCAAGGCGACGACGGGUAGCCGGCCUGAGAGGGCGACCGGCCACACUGGGACUGAGACACGGCCCAGACUCCUACGGGAGGCAGCAGUGGGGAAUCUUGCGCAAUGGGCGAAAGCCUGACGCAGCGACGCCGCGUGAGGGAUGACGGCCU
rnacentral:rRNA from 1 species